ensembl:lncRNA xylose isomerase-like
UCAGCAAACAGGUUGGCGAUUUAACGCAUUUUAGUGCCACCUUGCUUCCAAAGUGGGCAUUGCUGGUGUAGUUUUAGCAGAAGGACGUAGACAAACUUCCACAGUAUACCAAUUAGGAAGCCAGGAAAGGAUGCAAGUGAUCAGAAAACUAUAGGCCAAUAGCAUUGACUUCAAGUGUGUGUAAACUGAUAAGAUAUUUAUAAAUGAAAUGUUGGUAUAUAAGCUGGAAAAAGAUAAUCUGAUAACUGAGUUAUUAGGUUAUUUAUUUAUUAGUUAUUAGGAAAGGAGAAAGUUCCAUAGCUCCAGUUGCCCACCUGGAGAAUGAUAUAGGAAACCGCAGGUAGAUAGGGAAGCUGUGGUACUGUAGCAGUGUUUUUUGAUGUAGAAAAAGCGUAUGACAUGUUGGGGAGGUGGAGGGAGUGGAGCACGUUAUUAUUAUUAUUGUAAGUACAGGAGGGAAAGUGAAGGAAUGAUGAGGAGUGUGAGGGAGUCAGGAUUGAAGAUGUGUGUCUGAGGAGUGUGUUGGAAAUUGGAGGAUCAGGGAGCGGGUGGAAGUCUUGUUUAAGUUUGUAAGUGUCACUGGGUUGGGGAGGGUCAGAGAAACCGACAGGUGGCGGUAGAGCAAGGAAGCAAACCGCCCAUUAAACACAGAAGAAGAACAAACUUGCACAGCUGAAGUUGUUGGACAUGGCUGCAGCGGAGGAGUUCUUUCCAGGAAUUGCCAGGAUCCAGUAUGAGCCCAGCGCAGGUCCAGGGGACGUGUUGUGCUUUAAGCACUACAACGCAGACGAAGUGCUCAUGGGGAGGACAAUGGAGGACUGGCUGAGGUUCUCCGUCUGCUACUGGCACUCCUUCUGUGGAACAGGUGCUGAUCCUUUUGGCUUUCAGACGCUCCAUCGGCCUUGGAAUGAAGGAACUCCUAUGGAGUCGGCCAAGAAGAGGCUCCAUGCUGCUUUUGAGUUUUUCACUAAGCUUGGUGUUAAAUAUUACACGUUUCAUGACAGAGACAUGGCUCCUGAGGGCUCCACGCUGGAGGAGUCCAACAAGAACCUGGAUGAAAUAACAGACCUGGCUCUGCAGUUGCAGAAUCAGACUGGAGUCAAGGUGCUCUGGGUCACCUGCAACCUCUUUGCCCACCCGAGGUACAUGAACGGUGCAGCCACUAACCCUGACUGUCACGUCCUGGCCUACGCUGGUGCUCAGGUCAAAAAGGGACUGGAUGUCGCCAAGAAGCUGGGUGCAGAAAACUUUGUGUUUUGGGGAGGAAGAGAAGGUUUUCUGUCCAUUCAUAAUACUGAUGUUGCCGCUGAGCUGAAUCACAUGGCCGCCUUCUUCAAAAUGGCUGUCAAGUACAAAGAGAAGAUUGGGGCAAAGUUUCAGUUUCUCAUUGAACCGAAGCCAAAGGAGCCCUGCAGACACCAGUAUGAUUAUGAUGCUAUGAGUGUUAUAGGUUUUCUCAAGCAUUAUGGUCUGGACAGUCACUUCAAGCUUAACAUUGAGCCCAACCACACCACGCUGGCAGGACACUCCUACGAACAUGAUAUUGUCAUGGCCUCCGCGUUUGGGAUGCUGGGUUCGGUUGACUCAAACACUGGUUCUCCGGACUUGGGCUGGGACACAGAUCAAUUCCCCAUGGACAUCAGGAAUGUCACCAUGGUGAUGAAGACCAUCAUUGAACAAGGUGGUCUGCAGCCAGGAGGCCUAAACUUUGAUGCCAAGGUGCGCAGAGAGUCCACUGAUCUGGAGGACCUGUUCAUCGCCCACGUCGGAGCCAUGGACGCCUUUGCAAGAGGACUCAGGAACGCUGUACGAAUCAUUGAGGAUGGGAUAGUCAGUGAGAUGAUGAAGAAGCGAUACUCAAGCUUCAGUCAUGGUUUUGGACUGAAGGUGGUGGAGGGUUCUUCCUCGUUAGAAGACAUGGAGGCCUUCAUCAAGCAGAAUGGGGAACCCAAGAUCACUUCAGGAAAGCAAGAAAAAUAUGAGCUGAUCUUUAAUCACUACAUAUAAUAAAUAAUGGUACAAACAUUGUGCUUCAUUCAAAUGAGAUGAAAAGUUACCAGGGCACCACAGAUUUUGAAAUUGUUUCACUAAGAAAUAAAGUGUAAAAUAAUAACA